ensembl:lncRNA
AGAAACUGGAAACCAAACAGCACAGUACCCUCCAGUAUCUCCUUGGUGCUCUUGUUUUAAUGUGUGUAUACAGGCUACUGAUACCUCAGUGACAACUAAAUUAUACCUCAGAGGAAAACACAGAGAUGCUGGACAACAACUUCAUCCUUCAGUGAUGAAGGAUUGAUGCACAGAAGAAGAAAUGCUGGAAAAUGUUGUUAGGCAGUUGUAGUGGAAAUGCUAAGUCAUGGCCUGAAGCAGUGAUUGAGCACCUGGUGGGAAGGCAGGGCCAACCCGGGGAGCUCAGCUGCAUGCAAUGCAUCUGAGUGACCAGAAGGGGUGGAGCCAGGAUCCACUCCUUCCAAGACCUCAUUUAAGGGUUGGCAGUGGAGGUGAGGAUAUCUUUCUGGAGAUCCCUGCCUAGUAGAGGCCUUCUAAAGAAUUUACAAGCCAUUACCCAUCACAUCUAGAACAUUACUGGAGCUGUCGAGAUAAAGGAAUCAGCGUAGAAACAUUGUUCCACUGGGAAAUGUAAAAUGGCAUAAAGUUGGUCCCUCAACAAGGUCCUACAGCCCUGGUGCAGCUUGGAUCCUGGAUGCCAUGCCUGGUCUCAAGCUACUGCUUCCUCCUGAAUUACAUUGGCAGACUGAGGAAUAAUGGGCCAGAGAAAAGAAGAACUGGAAAAUGUAACUGAGGAGACAAGACAGGUUUGGUUACCAUGAGAACUGUCGUGAGCACUCUGGGAGAGAACAAUACCAAAAAAGUGUGAAUUUGUGACUCUCACAUUUUUACUUCUCAGAGUCUCACUGGGUCAACUUCUUUGAGGAACAGGUUUACAACCUGUGCAGACUUCGAGGGAGUGUGGGGAUGCUGUGAGCUAGCUCUGAAUGAGUGAAGUUUGUACUUCGAGAAGGAAGAAUAAUGUAUCACACUGAGCUCUGUGCUAGCAUCAUCAGCUUGACAUUUACCUGAAGUUACAGUCAGCAUGGACAUGUCCUGAUAGUCUGCUGGGUGAAGGCUGUUCAUGAUCAAGGUUUUGGGGGACUUUGGACACAUCCUUGGACACCUCAGAUUGGGUAUUUGGAAAAAUAUUUGCUCAUAAAGAGUGAUGGAACAUUGGCACAGGCUACCCAAGAAAGUGGUGGAGUCAUCGUCCCUGGAGGUGUUCGAGAAGUGUGGAGAUGUGGCACUGAGGAGCAUGGCUCAGUGGGCAUGGUGGAGUAUUGGGGGCCUUUGCUGAAGCAACGGGCAGAUGAUGCUGGAACCUGUAGGAUGGGUAUAUCCUGCUUUCAGGGAGCCGUAAGUCCAUGGGCAGAGGUGGCGGCUUCCCCAGGGAAGAAAGGGCACUGAUAGCAGAAGAUGGUGGCUGUACUUUUUUCUCUCCAAGAUCAUGUACGUAGGAAUGGACAGAACUUGCAGUUGAAUCAACUUCUCACAAAUUUCAAAGGCUUAACUUCCACUAUGCGUUAAGUAGUCUUUUUUUCAAGCGUUAAUAAAUAUCAACUGCUCUGAAAGC